rnacentral:lncRNA from 1 species
GGUUGAGCCACAUCUAAGCAGGGUUCACCUGUGGCAGAAGACUCUUCUUGUAACUCUGAGGUAGACGCUGCAGAAGGGCGCUUGCGAAUUGGUGGUUGAGUUGCUAAUGUUGCAUUAUCUAGACUUUCUGCAUUUUGAGGUGGUAUUAUGUGCUUUCCACUGUUGCUAGAUACAUCUGUAUCUUGCAUCUCUGCAUCAGCUGAAGGUUCCUCUGGCUUUGUUUUCUGCAUUUUGAGGUGUUGUUAUGUGCUUCCCACUGUUGCUGGAUACAUCCGUAUCUUGCAUCUCUACAUCAGCAGAAGGUUCUUCUGGCUUUGUAAUGCGAGGUCGAACCAACCUCCUUCCUGUUUUACGAGUUUCAGAGGUCAUCUUUGAUAAAACAACUUUUCCCACCACAGAAGUGGAAGUCAACAAGCUAGCUUGU